rnacentral:tRNA from 1 species
UCCCUGGUGGUCUAGUGCUGAGACUCCACACUGCCAACUUAGGGGGCCUGGGUUCAAUCCCUGGUCAGGGAA